rnacentral:rRNA from 1 species
GCUGUAAUCGCAGAUCAGCAUGCUGCGGUGAAUACGUUCCCGGGCCUUGUACACACCGCCCGUCACACCAUGGGAGUCGGUAACACCCGAAGUCGGUAGUCUAACCGAAAGGAGGACGCCGCCGAAGGUGGGAUUGAUGACUGGGGUGAAGUCGUAACAAGGUAGC